UUUAUUUUUUUUAAAUCAAAUCGUGCGUUUCAUCGGUUUGAAUGCCGCCGCCCUCUCCAUUCCACGCCACUCCAAAAUUCAAAACUAGCGCUCCUCACUCUCCAAGACAUUUCGUUUCGGUUAUUUUCAAAGAACAUUUAUUCCCUUAACGAUGGAGGUCGUGAAGACGACAAGGGGAGCGGGAGGUAGAAGAGGUGGAGAUAGGAACAAGUCGGUCUGAAGUCUAUCAAGGUUGGGCUUCAAUUCCCCUUGGGUCGGAUUGCUCGGUAUUUGAAGAAGGGUCGCUACGCUCAGAGGACAGGCUCUCGUGCUCCGAUCUACCUCGCCGCGGUUCUUGAAUAUCUCAUUGCUGAGGGGAUGUGUAGAAUUGGAGAGCAGAAGAGGAAGAAGAAAUGAUGAUAAAAGAGUUACAGAGAGAAGGCAUCCAUAGGCGUUGGGACAGUGCUCCAAGUGACAGCAUCCAAGUGAAGGUGUCCAUAGGUGUUGGGACAGUGGUUACUGAAUUGCUACAUAUUUAGUUCUUGUAUAGUGUUAUUACAGUUGUAGCAUUUUAAUUUGCUAUAUAUUUAGUUCUUGUAUAUUGCUAUUACACAAUGUUAUAGAUUACGCGCUUGAAAGAGUUAUUAGUGUUAUUAAAGUGUUCUUACAGUGUAUAUUUCACUUCAAAGAAAAUGUAUGUGAAUUAUUUGACAACA